UAUACCCACCCACUUCUCCUUCUUCUUCUACUCCCUUGACCAUCAACCUCAAACUCUGAAACCACCACAAAAAAAAAACAUUAAAUCUGAAUUUUAAUGCUUCAUCUUGUAAUCCAAUUGUUCCAACCGUACCAACAAAACAUUUCCAACUUGUUAUCAAUUUUUCACUUCUAAACCCUAAAUCGCAUUAAGACUUCAAUACCAUUAAAAUUAAAUCAAAAUUGAUCCAUAUGUUCUGAGUUUCCUCAACCUCUGUAAUGCCAAAAUGAUUUUACGAACCCUAGAUACUAAAAUUUGUUACGGAUAUGGGAUUUCGAAAUUGAAGGAGUCGAUUUUAGAGGGCACAAGAAGAAAAGGAUAAUAGCAGCAAGUGGUGGCAGCGGUGGUUCUUAUUGAACUUCAUCAGAAAAAGAUGAACAUUUUGAUAAUUUAUGGUUUUUUGGAAUAUCUUGGUGUAGUUAAUAAUCUAAUGAGGAAAACAAAGAUGGUAAAGAUAAAAUGGUACCUUAAUAGCCUGUGAAGCAGAAAGUAUCCCAAACAGAUCUGAAGAAAGUCUCCAACAGGUCUGGGAACAAACAGGGCGACAACCUAUAAGAACCCAGACAACAAUGUGAAAAGGCAACAUAGAGAUUUUUAGUUCAGAAAGGUAGAUAAAAUAAGAAGAAAACUUCUGCGUUUUGCAAAGGUAGAUCUCUAAAUUAAGGGUGGGAAAAGUAACUUGUUCAUGCAUAAAUGUUCUGUAUUGAAACUUGCUUACCAUUAUCUCUCCAAGAGCUCCAAGGUACUUUCUCCGAAUUCACUGGAAAUAAUACAUACAUACAUAUAUAUAUAAUUAACACCACAACAAAUUGUUUGUUUUUAGUAUGGCAUUGCUACUAGCACUGAAAUAGAUAUCUCUUUUACCCGUGUAUCUGCAUGGAUUUGAUUUUCUAUGAUAACUAAUGAUUUAGAAGAAACAACAAAGAUUUUUGCAUCACUAUCUUCAGAUAAUUUUGUAAUUUAUGUAGGAACAAAAAAUAAAUGAUAGUAAUUUGUAGGUAAAAAGGGAUGCUUACUGUUUAUCUCAUAGUUAUGGGCGCAGGAGUCUUUUUAUAAUUAUCACUAGCAAGUAUUGUAUUCAACUGGGCCAUUUUUUUUUGUUAUAGUGUAUCCUUUGUGCAGUUUUCAUGCUCUGUACACUUGCCAUAGUUAUUUCUUGUGUCGCAUUUAUCUGCUUAUUGAUCUGAUAUCUUUUAUCCAAUUUGGCGUUUUUAGUUGGUACCUGGAUCAUGUUACAUACAUGAUGCAUUUGUUACUUAACCUUUCUUGCACAUCCUUGUUACUUAUUACAAGCUAAUGUUAUUUUAAGUUCUAGUUACAUUAUGUUGUUAUGUUACUCUCAACUAGGUCAGGUUCAUGUUCUUCAAUUUAUUCAUUCUCCUACACACUUCAUUGCUAAUUAAACUAAUUUGUAGCUUGUAUGAGGUAUGACUUGUGUUUUUUUUUUUCUUCCUGUCGCCAUUUAAAUUCUAUUUAUCUGCAAUGCUUGUUGUCUCAUCCAUUAAUUAGUCUUGAAUUUUUGUUUAGUAAUUCCAUGCUCUGCUGGUGGUCGUAUCAUGAUUAUUCCUGUCAUUUCUUUUUCCGAAGUUUUGAAGUAUCAAUUAUUCUUAUUUAUCUAGGAUAUGUUUCAUAUUGUAUUUUAUAUCCCUUCUGCAGUUAUUGAUUUUUUUCUUCUUGCUGCAGAAAACACCAAAUCAAGUCGAUGCUGAAAGGGAACUCUUAGGUAAAACGAUCAAGGUUUGGUUGCCUGAUUAUCAAGUAUAAAAUUCUGGUUCUUAGAUUGUGUGAACUGUAAUAGAUAUACCCAUGGAGAUUCUUAAGUGAAGACAUCUAUUAUGAUGUAUAUACUGGGCAGGAUAGUGUCAGAACUUCUUACGGAUUGCCACUGUCUCUGAGCUGUGGCAUUUUUUGCUAUCUUUUUAGGUUGCUUUCUUUCCUGCUGAUGUUUAUCUUUGCGCUCUAAAUAUGCAAAGAGAUGUUGUCGUCCACUUUUCACGCAUAUGCAACAUGAAGAUUUUAGGAUGCCAGAUCCAAUCCUCCAUUAAAGGUUAAAGCGGAAUGCGAAGAUGUCUUACAAGAAUCUGUUAGAGUUUCAUAGAAACCAGUAAUGCUGCUUAUGCAUGCCAAUCAUGUUUCUUAUUUUUUUUUAAUGUCGUGAACUGAUGAUUAUGUUAUUUGACUCAGAAGCUUAAUUGUGUUUCAAUCUUCUUGAUGUAUUUAACUUUCAUUAGUGAAUGAAUGAAAGUUUUUCAUA